rnacentral:rRNA from 1 species
UAGGGGGCAAGCGUUAUCCGGAUUUACUGGGUGUAAAGGGAGCGUAGGUGGCAAGGCAAGCCAGAAGUGAAAGCCCGGGGCUUAACCCCGCGGACUGCUUUUGGAACUGUCUGGCUGGAGUGCAGGAGGGGCAGGCGGAAUUCCUGGUGUAGCGGUGAAAUGCGUAGAUAUCAGGAGGAACACCGGUGGCGAAGGCGGCCUGCUGGACUGUAACUGACACUGAGGCUCGAAAGCGUGGGGAGCAAA